AUUAGUUAAGGGAAGUGUCUACGAUCUCUGGGUUUAUAAACGCGUCUUUGAGUCGUUGGGAACCAACCAGCCGUGAGAGCAGACGAGCUUGUUGCCAGAUACGGAUGUUUCAAAGCUUUUCGAGAUAAAUUAUGGAACAAUUAGUGAAGCAGCCAAUGCUCGUCCAUUCAAGUCCAGUAACACUACCACCACCAUGUUUCGCAGACUGUAUGCUUUGGAUCAUGAGCAGAUCCUUACUUUCUACACACUUUUUUCACAGAUUUUUGUUAUCAUUUUGGCAGGGGAUAAAUUUGGUUUCAGAACUUUAGUGGAGUUUUUGCAUCCCGUGCUAUUAUAGGCCAAAUGAAAGAAAAAACAAAUACAGUUUAGGGGAAAAACAAAGACAGAAAUGUACAAACUUUUAUCAACCUGGUUGUGUAAUGACUCACAUGAGUGUGCACAGAAUGAACCAAACACAUUCCAUUAAAACAUAUGUACAAAAGUAAUUAUCAUCCACCUGUCAUUAAUGAAGAGAUUCUCAUUAACCUCAACUUGCUGUUUCUGUUGGAUUUUUUGGCAUCUUUUUUUGUUGCAUUUGAUUGCUGAAGCCAGAUAAAAAAAAACAGAAAAUAAAAAAAAAUCCUUUUUUUGAUUAAAAUUUACCUGAUAAUUUUGAUAUCAAUGUUUUCUAAUAAAAUGAUACAAGAUGCAA